ensembl:lncRNA
CCUAGCUUUGGGCUGUAUUCUCCAUGACAUAUGAACUUCUCUUGUUCCUUACAAAUUUUCCAUAUUUCUGAACAGUGGAACGCCUGAAGUUAUUGGAGCUUUGAACUAAUUCCAGAGCUUACAGUUCUUGAAAUCUGUCUCCAAAAAUCUGAAAACCUCGGUCAAAGCCAGGGCUUGGCACUUCCAAGUACCCAGCUUCAGAGCACAGUGGCUGCGAUUCCAGCUUUUGGACAGCUUAGCCCAGCAGAACUCAUUUCAUACCAUUGGCGUUGAACAGAUUGACAGCCUGCAUGGAAUGGGGACUAAAAUAAAGCUCUCGGAGCUGCAGCAUGAUAUAGAGAAAUGAGCAGGAGGCAGUAGUUCUGCUUCAGAGCAGCUGAAAAGGGAUUUAUUUUCAUUAGAAAGACACUUGCAACCUCUAGACAACAAACUGAAGUUUGUGGUCAGAGCAGUAUGCUCUGAAACCCAUCGGAAUGGCUCUAUUCAGUUGUUUCUCAAACCCGUAUGAACUUGUGAGAACUGCAGCAUUGCACAACAAGUGCUUCUGCAACUUCUGCUUGCUUAAAGGGAAGAAGUCCAAGUGAUGCUGUAUGCUCAGAUACUGGGAAAUGACUUAUCUGGCAGCUGUAUAGUUUGAUUGUGUAUACUACUGCAAAAGGAUGACUGGUGGUGACCUGAGGCCUGACAUCUGCCUGCUGCAGUGCAACUGAAAGACAUCAGCUUUCUUUGAGGAUGUGGAGACCACCUGAGCAGACCUGAAAUUACGAAGACAGGUGUCUGAGGCUUAACAGAUGAAAACCAAUUGCUGAAAAUAAAGCUCAAAAUCAUGAGAUGUGAACAAUCGUUAUUACUUGAAAGGUGAUUCAGCCUCUGGCCUGAUGAUCUCCAAGCUGAAGGUGUGGUGGACCACUAUACUGCCUUGGCUGAUGUUCCUGUUAUUCUGAGUCCUUUUGUGGCUUUUGAAAAUCCAGAAUAAAGUUAAGUAAGCAAGAGACUUGACAGCCCACAUCAGAGCUGCCAACUCCAGCAAUGAGCCAGAUUUAGAAGCUGUUAUAUGAAGAAUCUACAGGACAUGAGAUUUAAAUGGUUUCUCUGAAUAAGUACCUUCUAAACUAGGGUCCUUGAGGGCAUGGAGAGACCCUCGAUGACAGGGUGGGAUUGUUUUUUCUUCACUUCACCGUUGCAGGCAGACAGCUGGGAGGACCAAGGAAGAGCUCUUGUUCUUUUGCCUGCUUGGAGGAGAAAGUCAUUAAGUGGAUUAUCUCACCGGAUAAAGGUAUGAAGGUAAGAGGAAGAAUGGUCAGAAGCCCUCCCACUGCUGUGGUCCUUCUGGUGAUGCCCUCAGCCAUCGCAUGCAGGAUCCAUACAAAAGAAGAGAGAUGCUGGGAAGACAUCAUACCUUUUCUGACUGUUCCAUAUCACAUCACUCUGUUUGGAGAUACUGUGUUUCAUCUCCUACAAAGUAAAUUGCUGGCUGACAGCUGGAACCACCUCUACUAUAAAUUAUUGCACUCACAAGCAAGUUGGAUAUCUACCAUAGGAUCAUCAAACACAGAGGAGUUUGUGUUUACACUGCUGUAACCAAGCUGGGGGCUGGUUUCCAGAAUUACAGAGUCUUACAUAAAACAAAAUUUUCUCUUCAUUAAGUUCCAUGUUGACUGUCACAAAUCCUCCCUAUGAAUCCUUUCUAAUUCGUAUUUUGUGAGGGCGGGCUAGGACCCACAAAAAACAUUUACCCUAAUUCAUCUGCUGCGUUGUAAGGCUUUUAUUAGGCUUCACAAAUUUGAAUACUUUCAUCUGCGUUGUCAAGCUUCAUUCCCCACUGGUAUUUUUCCCUACAAAAUGUUGGUGAUGAAUAUUCACAAACCCCGGUGAGAGCUGUGCCAAAGACAUAGCUCAAAACAAUACAGCUGUAGCCAGAAAGCUGUACAGUGGGUGAACUGUUCUCAAUUCCUAUGCAUGUCUUCCAUCUCAAACCUUCAUCCUAUUUAAGUGCCUCAGGAAGAGAUAGCAAAGAAUCUCUUUCUCUUUUUUUUUUUCUGGAAAUCAAAUACAGAGGACUUGAAAGAGAAAAAGUUAAGUAUUGUAAGCAAUCCAGAAGGAGCAAACCAGGACCCACUUAUGAAUCUCCUCCCGUAAGGAUGGCUGAAAACCUCUAACUUGUAAGAAAACUGUGAAUGUCUGAAAAGUCUUCUGAUGUGAUACAUGUUGUGUCUAAUUUAGGUGCCUUCUGAUAGGGCUGACUGCAUGUGGAAAUAGGAGAAAGAGUAACUGGAUAAUAUUCUACUGCUAGAAGAGGCUGAGGCUGAUCUUCUUCUGCUUGAAGAUUGAUAUGUGUAGGACCUGUGUGGUCAAAACACCAUUAAAAUCAUAGUAAACAAAUAAUAAAUACAUGUUUGGGUCCCUUACCUGCAACAAGGUAGAAGCUUGUGUGCACAUUCUGCGUCCUGACACAACAUAAUGGUUAAACGCUUCAUGGACCUUUAAGACCUGUUACUUGGUGCAUAGCUGGAUAUGCAAGAGUUGGCUCAGUGGAUGCUAAUUUGAAAUCACUGCUCUCAAUUUUAUAACAGUAAGCAGUCAGCUAAUCUCACAAACAUCAGCCUUUGCAGAAGUCUUCCAUAUAUUUCCACCGCAAACUAGGAGUUUAAUAAGCAAUUAGUUGCUGAAAUGAUGCAUAGCUAUCUGUGGUCACCAUUUAAAGACAUUGCAACAAAGUCAAUUCAGAAGAAGAAAGUUGAGCUGGUGAAUAUUUCUAAGUGAAGAAAAAAAAAAACUUGAGCUACUUGUUGGAAAGGACAGCAACACAGCACACUCCCAUGAUGUCCUUGAGGAGUGGUGAUGGGAAACAAUAAAAAGACAAACACCAGCAGCAUUUUGUUCUGCAGAGGCUGGUGGCAGUUUCUCUUUGCAGUCGAGGCGCCAGAUCCCAACAUGCCAGAGGUUGUGCUGAAAAUCAGGACUUGGGGCUCUUCCUUUGCUGAGAAGAUAAAGUGGCAACUCUUGUGAAAUCCCACCCCUGCUUCACCAGCUGAAUGAAGUCCAAAAACUUGAUGCUUCAAACAUUUCACAGAGAUGGAAAAAAUACGAGAGCCAAAAAGAUUGUUAAAAAGAAUCCACAGUGAGGAAGACGGGAAUGCUAUCUGUGGUUCUCAUAUGAGGAAGAGCAAGAACAGAUGCAUUUUUUCCGCACACUCGGAACCUCAACUUGCAAGAAGUAGUGAAGGUUUGUGUAGAACUGGGGAUGACAACUGAACGCAAGUAGUCACCAGCAAAACACAGAAAACAUGACUGUUGGCUAGGUCCAGCAUGAAGCUCCAAAACUUCUAAACCCUGCAGAUAGAUGGUCUUCAGAAUAUGCAGUGGAGUUUAUCCAGUUUAACUCAGCCCAGCUGAUGCCAGCAGGUGGAGUUUCGCUGUGAGGUUUGUAAAGCUGCACCAUUCCCACUGGUCACUGAGGUCCUAACCAGUGCACUGCUGUGUGCAUGAAGUCCUGCUCUUAUCUGCUCAGUCUGGUAACUGAAAGUGCAAAGUGGCAAUUAGGUUCACCAUUAGCCCAUCAGCAAGUGCACAUUCAGGAUCAGAUCUACGUUUUGCAUGCCCAAGGCUGAGAGGUGCCAAUGGCUCUCCGUUACUGCUGGACAAGCAGUUAUGAAAAGUUGGCAUCCACAUAGAUCCGUGGCCGUGACAUGAGGAAACCUCCGCCACUUUGGCAAACAGCAUGCAAGUCCAGCAUAGGCCAUGUAUAGGAACAGGAAUGCUACUUGCCUUCGAUCUAGCCUGGCAUUUUAAGGUGGAUAAUUGUAUUGUCCUCAUCGGGAUUGUAACGGGGCUACCAGAUGAAUAUCCAGCUGCUUCCAUCCCUUUGAAGGAACAGUACACAAACCUGCAGCCUUAGCUCCCACCCUUACUACGGAAGGGGCUCAGCAUUCAGUCUGUAGGCAUAGCAGCAGAUUGGCAAGGUGACAUAACAACUAUUUGCAAGUCUACGUGCUGUCUGAAGUUACCAAAGUAAAUUGCACAGCAGUCUGCUUGGUAGUCCCUAAGAAGAUAAAGUGGUCAGUGCUGCUCUGCUUUGAAAAUAUCAGGUACCAACCCUUCUCUGUAUUAUUUGGGAUCUAAUGAGAAGCAGACAUCAUUUGGUCAUGAUGCUACAGACAAACUCUAAUGCUAUAUAUUUCUUCCCCUCCAUCCAGCCCUGCUUUGUGCAGAAUAUUGCAGACUGGCUGAAAUGUUGCCCAAGCAACAUCCACUCUUCAGCUGUACUUCUCACAGUGGCUUAAGCUGAAGAAGGAACAAGACCCAAGGAAGUGUUUGGAAAUCUCUCUUGCAUCCUCCCAGUCUGAGACCAACCAGAGCAGCUCCUGUUUGCAUUGGAUUUGUACAUCGUUGUCAUUGGAAGAAGAAACAUUCCAGUGUGAGAGGGAUCCUCAGCUGGCAAAGCUGUAUCUAGCAGAGGGCUUUGAACAAGCCCCGUGCAACUGAGAAAGAUGUUGGCUGAAAUGAACUGGAGGUCUUCCUCUUUAAUAUGGAUGUUAUGCUUGGUGCCAUGCAGACAGCGCUGGCAGGAGGACGAUUUCAGUCUCUGCUACAUCAAUAAAAACAAGGGGUUGUUUAAACUUGGCGUUGACACAAAUAAAAUAAAAACUGAGCUGUU